UACGUAGGGGCCUAGCGUUGUCCGGAUUUAUUGGGCGUAAAGGGCUCGUAGGCGGUUAGUCACGUCGGGAGUGAAAACUCAGGGCUCAACCCUGAGCGUGCUUCCGAUACGGGCUGACUAGAGGUAUGCAGGGGGAGAACGGAAUUCCUGGUGUAGCGGUGGAAUGCGCAGAUAUCAGGAGGAACACCGGUGGCGAAGGCGGUUCUCUGGGCAUUACCUGACGCUGAGGAGCGAAAGCAUGGGGAGCGAACAGG
rnacentral:rRNA from 1 species